UUUCCGUACCUGUACAUUGGGGAUGAGCGACUGGACUUUCGAUGCUCUGUUUAUUCCAGAUCAUUCUGGCUCGUGACUCUUCUGGCCCCUGGUCGCAAAGAAAAGCCUGCUUCUAAACAUAUGCUGUCCAAUAUGGUAGAAACUAACUUCUGAGUACUGGAAAUGUGACUAAUUGGAAUUGGGAUGUGCAGACCCUCGCCGGUGGCCGGGGAUUGAACUGACCCUGCAGAGGCCGUGAGCAGCCUCGCAACCCAGCGCUCAACUGCUGCACCACCAGGGGAGGCCCAGCUCCCAUCUUUUUCAAUACUGCCAGUUUCUCAAGUUCCACCUCUUCCAGGAAG